rnacentral:lncRNA from 1 species
GUAUUUUUCAGUGAAUUUUUCGGACUCCCGAGCUAGUUUUAAUGAUUUUUUGAAGUUCGUCAAUUUUUUCAGACCAAUGACGUGGCAACUCCUUAUUAGUCCACUUCUCUUUAACUUAGUGACUAAGUCAGCUGAUCCAUGCAAGUGGGCAAGUGGAUUAUACAAGCUGACAUGUGGUAGAUGAGGAUGAACCAGAGUGUGACACGUGGAAUUGUCCACAAAAGAUGAAAUUAUCAUUUCUGGUCAACCCUAGUCAAAGGAGAAGUAAAAUGCAAUUAGUUUCUUAAUUAAUCAUUUGUUAAAUAAUUAAUUAAACAAGCAGCUUAACCAAGACGCGGUGUUUCAAAUUGCAAAUUUCAUCCAUUCAAAAGGCGACAUGUGACAACCCUAGCUCUCUCCUCUUCUAGAGACCGGCCGCACCAUUUUCAAUUCAGAAAAUGAUCCCAAUUCCUUCUGAUCUCAUCACCACCGAAUGAUCUCAUCCUCAUUGCCAUCUACUCAACACCACCGAGACCAUCUCACUUCACCUCAUCCUUAUUUCAUCACCUCAAGGCCAUUCUCACUUCCCUUCAAGACCACCACCUCAUUUUCCUCUCAAACCCAUCUCUUCUGUCACACCCUGAUUUUCAAAGGAUAAAUUUUCAAAAAUUUGGGCAUGAUAUAUCAUAAAAUCUUAAUAUUCCAAAACCUGCUCAACAACUAUCUAACUAAAAACAAAUACUGGAAAUGUAAAUAUCAACAAACUCAACAAUUGAGUUAAACAUUAUAUCUCCCUAGAAAAUACUGCUCACUCCAUUAACUUUCAUGCACUCGACAGUUUACUCCACUAUCUUUCAAUUUCAAUCGAUUAGUCCUCUAACUAUCCAAUGUUACACACUUAGGUCCAUCCGUUAAGUGGACAUCCAAUCGUGCCGUCAACUUGCUGACUGGACAUAUUUUUCAAUGCCAACUCAGCUGGAUGAAAGGAGAAAAUCUUUUUAUAUUAAUUUUUUCUUUCAAUUUUAUUUUUUCUAUGAAAUCUGUCCCUUCUCGCCGUCCUCCUGCUCCGAUCACCGUUCUCCCUACUCGCCGCCGAUGACCAGACACGGUCGGCCUACGAAGUCAUCCAGGACUUCAACUUCAUUACCAUCGUACUCCCUGGCCUCCGGCGAGUCACAUGCACGCUACCCGUCGGCAAGAGACUCCAGAAAGACGUCAUACACGCCGUCGCAACGCUUACCCAGAAUACCCAGAAUUACUCUGGGCACCCAAAGCUCUCUCUCCUCGCGUCUUCUCCAACACAAACCGGCAAACCGCAUCUGCACCGCAUUCAUCCUUUGGUAGUCAGAGUACCAGUCCCAUCAAAUAUCAAUAAUAUAAAGGAGGAAGAAAGUCGAAAUUGUCAUCACUGCUGAUAGCAUUGUCUUCAGCACCAGCAGCUCUAUCUGAUCGUCUCCCGAAUCAUGGCAUUUACAAACCGAAUCGAUCAGCUUAGUCAGCAACUUCGCCUCGGCGCCACCGGAAGUGUUGACCCGCCGUAUAGGUAUCCGUGCGCGCUUAGCUUCUAGAUGCAAUCCACGGCAGGUAUCCGUGCGGUGCAGAUGCGGUUUGCCGGUUUGUGUUGGAAAGACACGAGGAGAGAGAGCUCUGGGUGCCCAGAGUAAUUCUGGGUAUUUUGGGUACGCGUUGCGACGGCGCGUAUGACGUCUUUUUGGCGUCUCUUGCCGACGGGUAGUGUGCAUGUGACUCGACGGAGGCCAGGGAGUAUGAUGGUGAUGAAGUUGAAGUCCUGGAUGACGUCGUAGGCCGACCGUGUCUGGUCAUUGGCGGCGAGUAGGGAGAACGGUGAUCGGAGCAGGAGGACGGCGAGAAGGGAUAGAUUUCAUGAAAAAAAUAAAAUUGAAAGAAAAAAUUAAUUUAAAAAGAUUUUCUCAUUUCAUCCAGCUGAGUUAGCAUUGAAAAAUAUGUUCAGUCAGCAAGUUGACGGCACGAUUGGAUGUCCACUUAACGGAUGGACCCAAGUGUGUAACAUUGGAUAGUUAGAGGACUAAUCGAUUGAAAUUGAAAGAUAGUGGAGUAAACUGUCGAGUGCAUGAAAGUUAAUGGAGUGACCAGUAUUUUCUUCUUACAUUAACUUCAAAAGUCUAGUAAUAACAACGUCGCUCACAAGAGCUUAAAAACAAAUUAACAAAAUAUACGAAUAAUUGUACAUUGUCUAAAACCAAGCUCCUAAGCCACCGCUUCAACCCUGCUGAUCAAUACCUGCAGGCCUAACCCCUACACCAUAAAUUGGUGCACCGGGUUGUAAACAACAAACCCGGUAAGCUAAAAAGCCCUUAUGAGUAACUCCCAAAAUAACUUAACCCAACAACACAUAAAAUAAAACCGGAAAUUCCUGCUUCGAACUUAGUUCAGGAAUUGCCUCCACAAUAAAAUUCAAAGAGAGUAAUUAAGAAAACAUAGCAAUUCACAAAACAAACAAUCAUAAGAGAAUCCUACAAAUAAUGAUAGUUCAGGAAUUCCACUAAAAAAAAUCACACAAUUAAGAAUUGAAGAAUCUCCUGCAUUAAGCAUAGUUCAGGAGAUAUUCAAACGAGUUAAACAACAACAAUUAAGAACAAAGUUAAAACCACAUUUUCAACACUUUUACAAAUAACAUGUACCCAUGAGUCCCAGAUAUUAAUAAAUACCUCUCAUGACCUACAACAACAAUUUGUGUACCCAUAGGUCCCAGAUACCAUAAGGUAUCUCCCAUGACCUACACCGACAGACAGACUAGAGCUCUAUUCCUAACCGUAACCAAUCACCCGGCCAAAGGGUUGGAACCCAGUUUAACUGUCCAAUAUCAAAUCACAAAAUAAUAAUAGUAUCAUAACCGUAACCAAUCACCCGAUUAAAGGCUUGGAACCCGGUUUGACUAUUUACACAACAUUUCACAUAAGGGUAGAAUCAUCAUAACCGUAACCAAUCACCCAAUUAAAAGUUUGGAACCAGGUUUGACUAUCUAAACCAAAAAUCACAGAAUAAUAAAAUCAACAUCAACAACCCAAUAGCACAUCAUAGAAUUAUAUCCUUCCACUUAGAUAUAUUUAUAUGCACAAGACAUAGUUAUUCCCACAAGAAUAACCUAACAAUAACAAAAAAUAUUAUAAUUUCAUGAACCUUAAAAGUAAUCAUAUAAUAGGAAAACUUGUUUUAUCUUAUCUAUGAGCCGUUGGCGAUCAAGCUCAUAUAUUUUAAAACAACUAAAAAUAAAAUUUUUAAUUUAAAAACAUCAUAAUCAUCAAUAAAAAUAAUCAUCGUAAUUCAUCAUCAUUCUAUCAUCAUAAACCUUAUCAACAUCACCAUCAUCAUCAUAAUAAUCAUUAUCAUCAACACAAUAAUUAUCAUUAUCAUUCAUCAUCAUAUACCUUAUCAACAUCACCAUCAUCAUCAUAAUAAUCAUUAUUAGCACACAAUAAUUAUUAUAACCAUCAACACAAUUUCAUAAAUAAUUGGUUCUAAGUGAACCUUUGUCACAUCCCGACCCUUAAAUUUUUACCUUAUUUACUAGCUUGGUAUUUAAUAAGAAUUUUACCAUCUCUGUCAUUGAGCUUAUAGUUUAUUUGGUCCCUAGAAGGGUUUUAAGGGACGAUUAUUUCGGAGGAUUUAUUCGUAGGAGAAAAUGUGACGACGGUAAAAAUGGUAAAUUUUAGCUAGUAAAAGGUAAUUUUUAUUGGGGUAUUAUUUUGGGGUGUUCAUUUUUAGAGUUGGGUUUUAUAUGGUGGGUUGUGGAACCGGUUUGGAGGCCCAAACCUCAGUUUUCUCUCUCUCUUUUCCCGACUCUUUUCUCUCUUCCGAUUCUUCUCCCUUCACUGGUGUUCUCUGCCACGGCCUGCCACCGUCCGGCCACCAACCGCUGUCGUACCGGUCCUGUUUGGUCGGCCAUCAACCCAGCCACCUCCCUGGACCGGUGACAGCCUCCCUAGAGCCGCCGUGAGAGAGAAACGACGCCUUGAACCUUCGGCUGUCCAAAGCUCUCCUUCGCCGGAAUUUCCUCCUCCGGCCACCAAUCUGGGCAAGCUUUAUAUGGUUUUGAAGGUCUCCAACCCAAUUGCCUUGUCCUAAAAGGACUCGGUUCAGUUUGCUUCAGGUAAGGAGAACCGGUGAGUGGAAGCUCUAAGGCGUUUUGUGUUGUUUUGCUCGAUUGCCCUAGUUAGGCUUGGAAUUGAUGUUUGUGUUAGUUAGGAAAGUUGUACAGGGGGUUGAGAGGAAGAUGCUGUUAAAAUUUGGUAGGAAUUGGAGGUUGCUGGAAUCGGCCUCCGGCCGCUGCCGGUUGGGAGAUUUUAAUGUUUUUAAAUUUGGAAUAUUAAGGGGAGUUUAUUGAAGUGAAUUAUGGAAUUUUUGGAUGAGUUUUGGAUAGGUUUAUGAAUUUCCGAAGUGUGGUAUUUUUGGCGGUUGAAUAAUGUAGAAUCCGGCCGUAGGAUUUAAGUCAUUUUCUGGGGGAAGUUGUAAUUAGGGAUGCCGGUUUGUUUGGUGAAGUUUAAGCCAUUUUGAGUUAAGAAUGGCGAAGUUGGGCAAUAAUGAGUGUGUGGGAGGCUCACGUUUAAUUUUGCCCAUUUUGUUUAAUUAUUGGAUUUUAAGUGGAAAAUUAAUUAUACAUUUGGAAACAGGAAGUGAGGAGGCUCAAGUAGAAGAGACCUCAGAUCGACGUCAGCUUUAGGCCUAAAGUUGUGAGUGGACCUUUGUUUUAAUUGAAAAGCAUGCGAUGAAUUAUUUUGUUGAUCAUUUAUUUUUUUUGCUGAGAUUUAUUUAUUUCUUGGAUAUUUGGCAAUUUUUCCUCCUUUGGAGAGUUCCCGGAAAUGAGAUUUUUGGUGGAUAUGUUUAUUGGAUGUUUAUGAGGAUAGUAUGUAUAUAUAAAUACUAGCUAGCCAUACGUGCUUGAUCCGCCAUAAUGAGGUAAAAUACCAUUAUGGUGUGACGUGAGUGUUAGACACAAGUGUAGUAGCCCUAUAUGAAAACUAUUUUCUUUUCUGGUUCAUAUAGGUUUUCAUAUAGGGAGUCCACACGUAUAUACACUCGUGCUUUUCCGCCAUAAUGAGGAAAAAUUCCAUUAUGGUGUGACGUGAGCGUUAGACGAAAGCGUAGUAACCUUGUAUGAAUUUCUAUUUUGCUUAUUCCUUCAUAGAAUUGGUACAAGGAGUAUGACGAGUAUAAAUACAUACACAUAUAUAUAUUUUUAUAUAUAAUUUAGCCUGAGAGGCUUUAUUUUUGUUAAGUUUGGAGACUAGCCGGAGCUAGUCAUGAAAUUGCCAAUCGUUGAGUUGAGAGCUUUUGAGCUGCCGCAUGCAGUAUAUUUUCUAUGAAAUUCAAAUUGGGAAUGCAUAAAUAUUUAUUAAUUUAUUUUUGUCCACUCAUUCUAACGUGUUCAAAUGUUUUUCCCCUGCGCCAUUCGUUUUAAAAAUGCCUAGCUUGCAGGUUAGCUUAGUUGAGAUCGGGAGUACAUGGAGAUGAGGCAUAGUCAUCAUAUAGCUUCUGCUUGUUAAUUUAUUAUGUUUCAUUUCUUCCUAUUAGAGUUGCUCUGAACCUAUAAAGGGUUGGAUAUGAGAUUUGUUUAGAUUAGUAAUUAUUUUGGGUGGUGUUGUGAUUUGGGGAGCACGAAGGCUCCAGGAGUUUAAGGUUGGAUUUAAAUUUUUAGAAGUGUUUGCAGGUUUUAUUAGGAAGGGUUGUCUAUUUUCAAGGGAACUUAUGCCGAAUUUUCGGUAAAUUUUCCUUGGAGGUGGUCCCCGCAGGAUUUACUUCGGGUUUCAGGGUGAAAUUCGGGGUGGGUCCUGACAACCUUGAUGAGAUGUUACUCACCUAAAUAUAUCCAGCUGCAUCUUCCACAAACAAAAGGGCUAAGCCAAGCCACUCACCCUUCACCAAACACCUAAAAUUACACAAAUACUACCUUAGUAACCAAACAAACUAAUGAGAAAAUUGCACCCUUCACAAACCUUAACCCAUAGGAGGACAACUUUCCAAGGUCGUCAUAUUUAACGACUAAAUAAAACUACCUCUAAUCCUCAAAACCUAAACUCAAACCUCACACAAGCCUAAGAUUAAACUUAAUGUCCUAACAUGCAAACCUUACACCAAACCUACAAUUUCCACAUCUCAACAAGCUCACAAUAACAAGAGCUAGCUAACCACUAAAACCUAGAGCUAGGAAAUUGCCGGACGCGCUGCCACGCGCCGACACAGGCGGCGGCGAGUGGGCCCCACGCGCCACCCCAAAACUUCAAAUUUUGCACAAACACCCAACAUCAACCUUAUAGAGCACAGCAAAAGGAACACUUUUUAUACCUAAGGCUAAGCUCGAUUCAACCUUGAACUACCCCAAACAGCCACCACAAGCUCCACCCCCAAAUCUGCAAACUAGCGCCCCAAACUUCAAACUUUGGAUCACAAGAGAGGCAUAAACAUCUCUAGAGGAAGGAGGAGAGCAAGACUCACCCAACUCCGGCCUAAAACGUCGUCGAAAACAACUAAAUUCCGGCAAGACCGCCACAGCUCCUCCACCUAGCAGCGGCGUCUAGGCGGCGAGACGACAAGCGGCGCUACCCUAGAAUUGAAGAGGAGGUCUUUGCACACCGAACGAGACCGGCGGCGGUCGAAUCUGCGGCCGGACUGUAGACCUCUGCUUCGGCGAACCAUGUGAAGCUUCUCUGGCCAACAGCUCUAUCUCCAGCUUGUGACGCCGUGCUACACCAGCCUAGACUUGGAGGCGACGUCCGACUGAGUUGAACGGGACCGGCGGCAGUCAAAGCGGUGGCCGGACGGUGGACUUCUGCUCCGGUAAGGAUGAGGUCUGCGUGCGGGUCGGGAGGAAGAGAGAGAAAGCUGCACGGGGGCUUUGUGCAAAUUUAGGGUUUUCUAAAAAUACCCACACACAUUUUCCUAUUUAUACUAAAAUCCCGAAAACCACAAUACUUCUGCUAACCAAAGCUUUCUCAUAUGACCUCCAAAUUACGUGUGCCGCAUGUCUACAAACUCGUAUCGCCAUGCUCUACAACUUCUGUGAAGAAAGUUUCUUGAGAAACCCAAUAAAUAAAAAGUCAACCAAAAAGUCAACCAAAUAAAAAUAAUAUAAACUAGUAUCUAAAAUUCCGGGGUAUUACAUCUUCCCUCUCACCGAGACCAUCUCACAUCACCUCGUCCUUAUUUCAUCACCUCAAGACCAUUCUCAUUUCCCUUCAAGACCACCACCUCAUUUUCCUCUCAAACCCAUCUCUUCCCUCUCACUCUUUCUACCGAAUCCUCAUCAAUUCCGUAAGGAAUCUCAAGGAGCUUCAAGGGUCGUGCCCAAGAAUUCGUUGAACGUGAGCAUCAUGCUGGAUUGUGUUGACGCACGACAACUAGGGCCGACCCUGAGAUUUUGGAGGCUCGAAGCGAAAAAAAAAAAAUUGGGUUUAGAGUGUGCACAUAACAUAACAGUACAACUCCCAAUAAUAAUGAAGGAAAAGACUUAGGUGCCUUGAGGUAUUCAUACCUCGCAAGGUGGCAACGUGUUAUUGGUCCACAUAGGACUACAACAUAAAAACUUAACGGAUUUUUGUAAUUGUCUUAACGGAUUUUUGUUAACUAAGGUAACGAAUUUUUUUGUAACUAUUUUUAACUAGAAAAAAACCUACUAACGAAAAAUACUCUCUCUCUCCUCGCGUUCUCUCUCUCUCUCUCUCCUCGUUCUCUCUAUGUUCUUCUUCUUCUUCUCACUCUAUGCCCACGUUUCAACAAUGAUAACAUAUCAUCCUUAAUGACUCUUAAAACGAGACGAGAUUCCUCCCGUUACAUGCUCAUUAAUGACAAACGCAAAAACCAAGUCCUCGUAGGUUCCUAACAACCGAGCGACGAUAGCUUCAAGGCAAAAAUUACACCUUCUAGUUAUUAAGAUCAUCCUGAAUGUAAACAUCUAUUGUGCAUACCAUUAUAACGCUACACGGGCAAAUUGAAACUUCCAUCAUAUAAUGCUCAUCCGCUUGUGUUCGGGUCUAUUGGGGUCGCUCCCCAUCACCCACUAUGCGUCUACGCAAGACCCCCUCAUAUUACAAAAUGGAUAAAGCUUCUUAUAAGAAUAAUCUCUUACCCAUGCGCUCUAGCUAAUCCUUACGUAUGUGCAUGCUACUGCUCCCAGCGUGCGUAAGUGUCCCUAGGCCGUACACGAUAUACCUGGACUCACGCAUACGACCCUAGCAAAAUGUAACCUAGUUAUCAUCAGCUGGCACCAACUGCACUUUUGGUGUGUGUGUGUGCGUGUGUGUGUAUAAAUUGGGCCUCACCUCACCUUUUCAGGUAACUAACUCAUUCCCUCCUCUCUACUCCUAAAACCAUCCGCUAUUGUGUCUAACGUGAGCGUCAAAGAUGGGAUGACCGAAUUUUUCCAGUCUCCCCUCUAACCUCGUUCGCAGUAAAGGAACUAGAGCGGAUAGUUGCACAUCAGCGGAGAGAGGGUCCAAUAGUUAACCAUUUUGUCUAUCCCAUAAUCACUCCCAACAUAAUUUGAGUAACUAAAUUCUAAAAUUCAAGUUAAUUUUGAAUGUUGAAACUAUAGAGUAUUUUACACAUCAUCAGAUGAUAGAGAUCAAACGACAUUUCCUUGUGUCCGAAAUAUUUUGGCCUUUUAGAUACAUAAAAUGGACAUGUGUUUGGUUUGGUUUUGAUCUAUUUCAUUACAUAUAAGGUUCAAAAAAGUCAUACAAAAUACAAAUGUUGCAUGAUCAAAUUGUGGAAUUCUCACUUUUAAUAGAAAAAUUAUAUAUGUUAUCUCGUUGAAACUGUCAAUUUUCAGCAACUUCAACUCCUUGUCUCAGUACCUUAUGUCCACAAGUUUACCCAUACUUGGUAAAAAAAACUGAACAUCUUCACGCGUUUUUAGAUGAUAAGUAUCCGAUGAACCUGAUUAUCCUUAACAAAUUUUUACUUAUACGAUAUUGGGCCUAUUUUCAAAUGAAAUCAUGAAAACCAAGAUAAGGGGUAUAUCGUGCUAGCGCUCAUUAACACUUUAAUUUAUUAUGUACGAGCAACAAUUCUUAUUUUUCAUUAAGUAGUUGUAGUUGAUAGUAUGACAACAAACUCUAGAGUGGAUUAUUGUUUCACUUAGUCAAUGGUCAAUGCAAAACACACCUUCAUGACGCAUAAUGGUUCAUCGGUGGUCAUGCAAAAUAACUUGGGUAUGGUCACUUAUGUGACAAACACUAAUGAAAGAUGAACAACUGUCAAAAAUAAUCAUAAACAAACAUGCCAAAUACCUAAAACUCCCCUGUUAUAUCCUUAAAUUGCAGCCAAACCUUUUAAAAUGGACACGUGUCUCAUGUUCAUUGGUUGUGGUCACCUUACUCCUGUCACCUAAGUCGGGUUCAUAACAUUUUGAUUAAUUUUAAAUACACACCUCUAAUCUCUUAAUACACACCCCUUACUUAAUACAUUACCCAUUUAGUUUUUCAUUUCAAUAUUAUACUAAAUACACAUCCCAAACUGUCUAAAAUACCCUUAAUAUCUAAAACUAAUAAUAAUAUGUUAUUUAAUAUAAUUAUUAUAUUUACUAUUUCACAACUGUAAUACCCUGGAAAUUUAAUGUUAGUUUCUAAUAUUAUUUGAGAAUUUCUGAGUUAGAAGUUAGAGUGUUUUGAGGUUCGAAGAAAGAACGGAAACGUUCGGAUGCUUUUUUACCUGAAACGGUUUUAUGGUUCUGAAGGGUCAAGAGUUGACUUUCUAAUCCGUUGGGUUUCUCGAGAAACUUCCUUGACGAAAGUUGUAGAGCAUGACGAUACGAGUUCGUAGACACGUGGCACGCGUAAAACGGACUUCGUAUGAGGAAGUUAUGGUUAGCGGAAGUUCGUGGCUUUACGGGAAUUUUGGGUUAAAUAGGAAAGUUUUCUUUUGAGUCCUCACUUUUUUCAGAAACCCAAAUCUUCCCCCUCUCCUUCUCUCUCCCCGACCCCGAGAGAAUCCAAAACCCCCAGCCAACCCGGCCUAAACCCGCCCGACCCGACCAGGCUUUUCCGGCCACCUCCAACCGAUUUAGACGCCGGCACCGGUCGGGUUCUCUUCUUCUCCUCCGUUCGAGCUGCCCUGUGGUGGUGACUUGCUCCGAUUCGGUCCCGAAGUGGUGACCCGAACCUUAAAAGUUCGGCUUGGAGACCAGUCGGGAUUCCCACCUCCGACGGCGGUGACGUGGCUUGGAAACGGUCGGGAUAGGAGCUCCGUGGCGUCCUGGUUCAUUUUCCGGUGGUCUUGAAGCUUGUCUCUCGGUGUGGAGUGGUGGUGGUGGAUUCCAAUUUUUCCGGCAAGUUUCCGGUGUUUUCCGGCCGAGUGGGGCAAAACCUCAGGUGACUUGUGAAGUGUGUUGAGCUUGGUUCUUGAGUUUUUUUUGUGAAGACGCAGCGGGAUUUUUAGGUGAGUAACAUCUCACCAAGGUCCACUUUCAGACCAGUUAUUUAUAAUUAUUAUGAUGAUGAUUGUGAUGUUGAUUUUGAAGAUGAUUAUGAUGAUGAUUGUGAUGUUGUUUUUGAUGAUGUUGAUGAUGAUAAUUGUUAUGAUGAUGAUGAGAUUAAUGAUGAUGAUGAUAAUGUUGAUGGAAAUGUUGAUGAUAUGAUGAUUAUGAUGAUAAUUAUUAUGAUGACGAUGGUAAUGGUUUUGAUUGAUGAUUAUGAUGCUAUUUAUAUAUUGUGAGUAAAUCUCACAUGGGUUCAUAAGGAACCGAAUUUAUUUUAUAAUUUUGUUAUUGUUGGUUGUGAAGUUGUCCUUAAAAGGAGAAUGUUUUUUCUUGUUUUUAAAUAUAAAUGAGUUUGAUCGUCAACGGCUCAUGGGUAAGUGAAAAUGUGUUUCCUGAUAAAAAUAAAUCUUUCAAAAGGACUUCCGAUCAUGUGAUAUUGUGAUGUUGAAAUAUGGUUGUUGAUAGAUUAUUCUAGUGGGAAUAUCUAUGUCUUUGUUUAUAUAAAUAUAUCUAGGUGGAAAGAUAUAAUUUAUGAAGUGCUCUUGUGUUGUUGUUGAGGAUAUUUUUAUAUUGUGCUUUGAUAAGUGUUAUGAUGGGAGAGUAUUUGAAUGUGUGCCUUAGUGGCGAUUGUGUGCAUUAGUUGUGUAUGUGUGUGCCUUAGUGAUGAUUGUGUGCAUUAGUUGUGGAUGUGUGUGCCUUAGUGGUGAUUAUUAGACUAGGAGCCUUCGUGGUGGACCGGGAACCAAGCCUUGGCCGGGUGAUUGGUUACGGUCAGUAUAGAGCUCUAGUCUGUCAGUCGGUACUUCAUGGGGGAUGACUAAGUGUUGACGAACCCAUGAGUACGCAUUUAUUUGGUUACUUAUGGGGGAUGACUAAGUGUUGGCGAACUCAUAAGUAAGAGUAGAGAAAUGUUUGUGUGAUGUUCUUAUGUGUUGUUUAAAUUUCUUGCUUUGAGUAUCUUCUGAACUAUGCAUAUCCGUAGGAGAUUCUUAAAUCUUAAUUGUGUAUUUUAAUAGAAUUCUUGAAGUAUGUUUAUUUAUAGGAUUCAUUUAUGAUUUUGAGUGAUUUUAAAUUAUUGUGUUUUCUUAAUUGUUUCUUUUGAAUUCUCUUGUUUUUAGGCGAUUCCUGAACUAAGUUGCUAAUGCAAGAAUUACCAGUUUUAAUUUAUAUGUGAUGUUGGGAUUGUUGGGUUAUUAUUUUGGGAGUUACUCAUUCGUUGUAAAGCUUACCAGGUUUGUUGUUUACAACCUGGUGCACUAAUCUAUGGUGUAGUGGUUGAUUUUGCAGGUCAGGAUUAACAGAGUUGAGGCUACGACAAUUAGGCUUUAAUCCUUUUGUUUACUUCUAUAUUAUUGUGAGUAUAGAGGGAGGUUGCAUUGCUCGAUUUAUUUUUCUUAAGUUGUAAAACUUUAUUGUUGUAAAGAUUCUUUUAUUUUUGUUAUCAUGCCUUGAAUUUUAGAAUUUUUAUUUAUUUAAAAUUCGGGGUGUGACAACAACUCUCUUUUACGUAUUCUCUUUUAUUUUUUGUUAGAUUUUUUUGAUCGGGUUAGAAAUUUAUUCUUGAUAUUUUUC